ensembl:misc_RNA Metazoa_SRP Metazoan signal recognition particle RNA
GCCAGAGGUCUAAAAGUAGUCCCAGCUACUUGGCGGGCUGAGGCUGGAGGAUCACUUGAGCCCCGGAGUCCUGGGCUCUAGCGUGCUAUGCCAAUCGGGUGUCCGCACUAAUUUCAGCAUCAAUAUGGUGACCUGCUGGGAACUGGGGGCCACCAGGUUGCCUAAGGAAGGGUGAACCUGUCCACACUGGAAACUGAGCAGGUCAAAACUCCCGUGCUGAUCAGUAGUGGGAUCAUGCCUGUGAAUAGCCACUACACUCUAGCCUGGGCAACAUAUAAAGUGUUU